UUCUAGGGUAAUCCUAUUCCUUUUGAUUUUGGAGGAAUAAAAGUAGUGAAAUUAUUUAUACAUGUUAGUGUAAGCAUAUAAGUGAGUAAAUCUCAAUAUUUGAAAUCUAUCAGGAAAACUAAAGUUUAUUCUUAGUUAACCUAAGACGGACAGCUUAGAGCCACGUUUUAACUGUAACAAAGUAAAAUUAUACAGCAGUAAAAAAGUCUAUACAAUUAAAGUAAUUUAGAUAUGGUUAUUUCACUUAGUUUUGUCUAAUUAAGUGCCAGCAGACGCGGUUAUACUUAAGAAGCAAAUUUUUAUAAUAAAACAGGUUAAUGUGUAGCAUUGUUAUAUUGUAUAAAGAAUAUAUUUGAUUUGGUUAAAUAAACAAAUGUUGUAAUUCUUACUAAGAAGUUUUUAUAUAUAAUAAUGUAAGACAUGAAAAAAAGGAUAUUAAAUAGGAUUAGAUACCCUAGUAAACCUUUUUGUAAAUUGAAUUUUUCUACCUGAAUAGUACACUUUUAAGAGUGAAAAUCAAAAAUUUUGGCUGUUUACUUUCCAAUUAGAGGAACAUGUAAUUUAAUUCGAUAGUCCGCGAAAUAUCUUACCUAUUUUAGAAUAUAUCAGGAGCUGCAUGGUCGUCGUCAGUUUAAAUUUGUAGUUUAAACUUAACCCGAUAACGGAUAAAGUCAGAUGGUAUGACCCUUAUAAAUAGGGAUAUUAUGUGUUACAAUAAUUAAAUCAAUAAAAAUUUAAAUUCGAACUAUUAGUGUAAUCUAAUACGAAGGAGAAUUUAAUAGUAAAUGGAAAAUAGAAAGUCCCAUUGAAUAGGUUCAAGUAUGAGUACAAAUUGCCCGUCGCCUUUAUCGAUAAUAUCACGAUUAAAGAUAGAGCAAGUCGUAACAUAGUGGGGGUAAGGGAACUUGUCCCUGAAAUUUUUAAGUUU
rnacentral:rRNA from 1 species